rnacentral:rRNA from 1 species
UCCUGGCUCAGGAUGAACGCUAGCUACAGGCUUAACACAUGCAAGUCGAGGGGCAGCAUUGGGGUAGCAAUACUUCAGAUGGCGACCGGCGCACGGGUGAGUAACACGUAUCCAACCUGCCGCUUACUCGGGGAUAGCCUUUCGAAAGAAAGAUUAAUACCCGAUGGUAUAAAGAGUUCGCAUGUUCUCUUUAUUAAAGAAUUUCGGUAAGCGAUGGGGAUGCGUUCCAUUAGAUAGUUGGCGGGGUAACGGCCCACCAAGUCUACGAUGGAUAGGGGUUCUGAGAGGAAGGUCCCCCACAUUGGAACUGAGACACGGUCCAAAACUCCUACGGGAGGCAGCAGUGAGGAAUAUUUGUCAAUGGACGAGAGUCUGAACCAGCCAAAAGUAGCGUGAAGGAUGACUGCCCUAUGGGUUGUAAACUUCUUUUAUAAGGGAAUAAAGUGAGGGACGUGUCCCUUUUUGUAUGUACCUUAUGAAUAAGGAUCGGCUAACUCCGUGCCAGCCGCGGC